GGCUGCAACAUCCCCGUGGGUGGGGUCGCUGCUGAGGAGUCUGGCAAAGCCGCCAGGUGUUUCGGUGACGACAGUGCAUCCGCUGCAGCC
rnacentral:sRNA from 1 species